AGCGAUCUAGUUUAAUAAGAACCUCUAACUUGCACUUAGAAAGUAGGGCUUACCCCUGACUGCUA
rnacentral:tRNA from 1 species